GACGUAGGGGGCGAGCGUUGUCCGGAAUUACUAGGCGUAAAGGGCAGGCAGGCGGAUCCAUAAGUUUAUCGUUUAAGGCGUCGGCUUAACCGGCGUAGGGCGGUAGAUACUGUGGAUCUGGAAUGCGGUUGGGGAAGACAGAAUUCCUGGUGUAGCGGUGGAAUGCGCAGAGAUCAGGAGGAAUACCGAAGGCGAAGGCAGUCUUCCAAGCCGUUAUUGACGCUCAACUGCGAAGGUGUGGGUAUCAAACAGGAUUAGAUACCCGUGUAGUCCCUGAG
rnacentral:rRNA from 1 species